AUAUGUAUCAACAGGGGUGAUCACGAAGCUGGUUUUCCCCGGGCAAGGGCUAUCCAUUGCAUUCUGGAUGUGCUGACCCCUGUGAGUCCCCCAAAUGUAGAAAACUCGACUGCAUAAUUUGUGGCAGUGGGAUACUGUGCUUGUGCUCUCUCCUA
rnacentral:snRNA from 1 species